ACAGUGGACGCGAGCAUCUGUGGCCAAGUUUUUAAGGGCGCACGGUGGAUGCCUUGGCACCAGGAACCGAUGAAGGACGUGAGAGGCCGCGAUAGGCCCCGGGGAGCUGCCAACUGAGCUUUGAUCCGGGGGUGUCCGAAUGGGGAAACCCGGCAGUCGUCAUGGGCUGUCACCCACUGCUGAACACAUAGGCAGUGUGGAGGGAACGAGGGGAAGUGAAACAUCUCAGUACCCUCAGGAAGAGAAAACAACCGUGAUUCCGGGAGUAGUGGCGAGCGAAACCGGAUGAGGCCAAACCGUAUGCGUGUGAUACCCGGCAGGGGUUGCGCAUGCGGGGUUGUGGGAAUGAGCUUGAUCGGUCUGCCGGCCGGUCGGCGAGUCAGAAACCGUUGAUGGAUAGGCGAAGGACAUGCGAAAGGUCCGGCGUAGAGGGUAAGACCCCCGUAGCUGAAAUCUGUACGGCUUGCUUGCUCAUCUCCCAAGUAGCACGGGGCCCGAGAAAUCCCGUGUGAAUCUGGCGGGACCACCCGCUAAGCCUAAAUAUUCCCUGGUGACCGAUAGCGGAUAGUACCGUGAGGGAAUGGUGAAAAGUACCGCGGGAGCGGAGUGAAAUAGUACCUGAAACCGUGUGCCUACAAGCCGUGGGAGCGUCGCU
rnacentral:rRNA from 1 species